AACGAACGCUGGCGGCAGGCCUAACACAUGCAAGUCGAGCGGACCCUUCGGGGUUAGCGGCGGACGGGUGAGUAACGCGUGGGAAUAUGCCCUUCUCUACGGAAUAGUCCUGGGAAACUGGGGGUAAUACCGUAUACGCCCUUUGGGGGAAAGAUUUAUCGGGGAAGGAUUAGCCCGCGUUGGAUUAGGUAGUUGGUGGGGUAAUGGCCUACCAAGCCGACGAUCCAUAGCUGGUUUGAGAGGAUGAUCAGCCACACUGGGACUGAGACACGGCCCAGACUCCUACGGGAAGCAGCAGUGGGGAAUCUUAGACAAUGGGGGCAACCCUGAUCUAGCCAUGCCGCGUGAGUGAUGAAGGCCUUAGGGUUGUAAAGCUCUUUCAGCUGUGAAGAUAAUGACGGUACCAGCAGAAGAAGCCCCGGCUAACUCCGUG
rnacentral:rRNA from 1 species